CGUCGGAUAGCUCAGGUGGAAGAGCAGCGGACUCAUAACCCGCAGGUCGGUGGUUCGAGCCCACCUUUGACGA
rnacentral:tRNA from 1 species